rnacentral:rRNA from 1 species
AAUGAACGUUGGCGGCGUGGAUUAGGCAUGCAAGUCGUGCGCGAAACGUAGCAAUACGUGGAGAGCGGCGAAAGGGAGAGUACAACACGGUUAGCUACCCUCGGGACUGGGAUAGCGGCGGGAAACUGCCGGUAAUACCAGAUGACGUCUUCGGACCAAACGUGUAAACCGGCCCGAGGAGGCGACCGUGUCCUAUCAGCUAGUUGGCGGUGUAAUGGACCACCAAGGCUAAGACGGGUAUGGGGCGUGAGAGCGUGCCCCCACUCACUGGGACUGAGACACUGCCCAGACACCUACGGGUGCUGCAGUCGGGAAUCUUCGGCAAUGGGCGCAAGCCUGACCGGGCGACGCCGCGUGCGGGAUGAAGGCCUUCGGGUUGUAAACCGCUGUCGUAGGGGAGGAAGGUCUGGUGUAGAGCCAGGCUUGACCGAUCCUAGGAGGAAGGGCCGGCUAAUCUCGUGCCAGCAGCCGCGGUAAUAC